rnacentral:lncRNA from 1 species
AGUCUAAUAAGGAUGCCCUCCUCUCUUCAUGUCUCCUUGUCUCAUUUACUUCAUCUGUUAUAGAUGUGAAAGAGGAGGACUGGUGAAAACAAAUACAACAAAUAACAGGUGUUGCUACAGUUUCUGCAUUCACCAUCAUGCUUUCACCUAUAUGCUCUCACACCAGUUCAGAUGGAGAGGAGACGAGGUUAGAUAGAUGGAUGAAGGAGAGGAGACGAGGUUAGAUAGAUGGAUGAAGGAGAGGAGACGAGGUCGGAUAGAUGGAUUAAGGAGAGGAGACGAGGUCAGAUAGAUGGAUUAAGGAGAGGAGACGAGGUCGGAUAGAUGGAUUAAGGAGAGGAGACGAGGUCAGAUAGAUGGAUUAAGGAGAGGAGACGAGGUCAGAUAGAUGGAUGAAGGAGAGGAGACGAGGUCAGAUAGAUGGAAGAAGGAGAGGAGACGAGGUCAGAUAGAUGGAAGAAGGAGAGGAGACGAGGUCAGAUAGAUGGAAGAAGGAGAGGAGACGAGGUCAGAUAGAUGGAAGAAGGAGAGGAGACGAGGUCAGAUAGAUGGAAGAAGGAGAGGAGACGAGGUCCGAUAGAUGGAUUAAGGAGAGGAGACGAGAAGAGGUCAGAUAGAUGGAAGAAGAAGAGGAGACGAGGUCAGAUAGAUGGAUUAAGAAGAGGAGAUGAUGCCAGGAGAGUAAACCACACUACCACACUAUGCUUGCCCACGUGCAUCCCUGCUAAGACCAGGCCAA